rnacentral:rRNA from 1 species
UGGUAUUUUUUGUUGAAGAAAGGCGAGAUUAGACAGGAAUCUAAGGUUUCAUUUCGUUGAUCUCUUUGGGACUCUAAAUUACACCACCAUCUCAAGAUAACCCUAGUUUAUAUUUAUUCAUAUUUGUUGCGGCCAACAUUUUAUUGAGAGUAAGACGUUUGCUCUUGGAUUCACUUGGUGGUGGGGUUGAAGCCCCCUAGUGCAAGUAUUUCAGCGUUUUGAAAGUUGUGCCCCGUAGCUCUACUGAAACACCGAAAUGGUGUUAGGUAGGUGCUAUUUUGGAAAUCGCGCUUAGGCCGGAAUUUAACACCCCUGCCCGAUGAAGUAAAGGGUUUGGGUAUAAAACUGUCUUUAUCUGAGAAAAAAAAUCCCUGCGGGGGGAAAUUGCUCGAUUAUUAGAAAAGACCGCCUAACUUCGUUCCGCAGCCGCCCGCAUUCAGAGGGGGGCAGGGGUGCCCGGGUUUUUGGCUUUAGGGGUGCGAAUCCCCCUUUAAUCAAACGAAAAUCCCGCCGGUCAACCGUGUACUGCCAUUAACGGGGGGCUUACAUUCGCCAAGCGGGCAAAUUCGUGCUUACGGGAAAAGUAAAAUCAACAAAAACCCGUGCUAAGUGGUGGUUGGGCGAAAUUUAACUUAAGGCCAAAAACCCGGCGGGGCACACCGCUUUAAACCCCUGUAGAUCCCCCCCUAAAAAAAAGAUAGACCCUGAGGUGGCGGAGAGAGGUGUCGUGUUCAAAAAUAAAAAGGUUAUAAUCCUCCCCCCUGGGGGACACACCCCCCCGGGGGGAAAAACUCCAAAAGCUCUAAAGGGGCCCCCCCACGCGCGGGGAAAGAAGUGGUUUUUUUUUUAAGAUAACCCAGAAAACCAUCCCCCCGGGGGAAAUGGUGCGAGACCGGAAAAGAAAUAUACUACCCUUCGAGGACCGAAAAAAAAGGGGGGGGAGCGGUGGGUCGACGCCUCG